rnacentral:rRNA from 1 species
UACGUAGGGCGCGAGCGUUAAUCGGAAUUACUGGGCGUAAAGGGCGCGUAGGCGGCCCGCUAAGUCGAACGUGAAAUCCCCGAGCUCAACUCGGGAACUGCGUCCGAUACUGGUGGGCUUGAAUCCGGGAGAGGGAUGCGGAAUUCCAGGUGUAGCGGUGAAAUGCGUAGAUAUCUGGAGGAACACCGGUGGCGAAGGCGGCAUCCUGGACCGGCAUUGACGCUGAGGCGCGAAAGCUAGGGGAGCAAACGGG